UCUCAGUGGCUCAGUGGUAGAGAAUCUGCCUGCAAUGCAGGAGACUCAGGUUCGAUCCCUGGGUUGGGAA
rnacentral:tRNA from 1 species